GGACUGAGUAAUUCUUAUUUUUUGUACACAUGUGAAAUUGGAAUUUGUUAGAGAAGCAACACCAAAAUCCAACAUAAACCCUGUGGUAGUCUAAUCUUCUGACUCGCAACAGCCUUUCCUGCACUACCCAUUCCUAGCACAUGAUUCUCCUGAAAACUACCAUCUACACUUGCCAAGAAGUUCCUUGGAUUUCUAUAUUCAUAUGAAAUAUUGAACAUUUACCGUAAGAUAGUACGGAGGGAAAGGUCAACAGGCUGGCUGCAGAGAGACUGCCUCCUCAUUUGCAAGGAUAUAUGUGCCAGGCUCAACCUGAGAAUGCUCGAGAAUGCAGAAGUAACCCCUCAGCAAGAAAAAUCCAAUCUCCUGUCCCCAGUUGCUCUGAAAGACUCCAGGAACCUUUCUCAAGCCCACAGUAGGGAAGACAUCUGCCUUGCUCCUUCUUUCAUCUACUACUUCUGCAGAUCUUUUGCUCCAGGUAAGCUAACAACCUGUGCAUCAGAUUAUCCUAUUUGGUAUUAAUUGCCCCAGCUCAUUGUCUAAUAAAUU
rnacentral:lncRNA from 1 species